GCAAGUCGAGCGCGGGAAGCGAGUGGAUCCCUUCGGGGUGAAGCUCGUGGAACGAGCGGCGGACGGGUGAGUAACACGUGGGCAACCUGCCUGUAAGACCGGAAUAACCCCGGGAAACCGGGGCUAAUGCCGGGUAAUACUUUUCUUCGCAUGAAGGAAAGUUGAAAGAUGGCUUCUCGCUAUCACUUACAGAUGGGCCCGCGGCGCAUUAGCUAGUUGGUGAGGUAACGGCUCACCAAGGCGACGAUGCGUAGCCGACCUGAGAGGGUGAUCGGCCACACUGGGACUGAGACACGGCCCAGACUCCUACGGGAGGCAGCAGUAGGGAAUCUUCCGCAAUGGACGAAAGUCUGACGGAGCAACGCCGCGUGAACGAUGAAGGUCUUCGGAUCGUAAAGUUCUGUUGUUAGGGAAGAACAAGUACCGUGCGAAUAGAGCGGUACCUUGACGGUACCUAACGAGGAAGCCCCGGCUAACUACGUGCCAGCAGCCGCGGUAAUACGUAGGGGGCAAGCGUUGUCCGGAAUUAUUGGGCGUAAAGCGCGCGCAGGCGGUUCCUUAAGUCUGAUGUGAAAGCCCACGGCUCAACCGUGGAGGGUCAUUGGAAACUGGGGAACUUGAGGACAGAAGAGGAGAGUGGAAUUCCACGUGUAGCGGUGAAAUGCGUAGAUAUGUGGAGGAACACCAGUGGCGAAGGCGACUCUCUGGUCUGUUUCUGACGCUGAGGUGCGAAAGCGUGGGUAGCAAACAGGAUUAGAUACCCUGGUAGUCCACGCCGUAAACGAUGAGUGCUAGGUGUUAGGGGGCUUCCACCCCUUAGUGCUGAAGUUAACGCAUUAAGCACUCCGCCUGGGGAGUACGGCCGCAAGGCUGAAACUCAAAGGAAUUGACGGGGGCCCGCACAAGCGGUGGAGCAUGUGGUUUAAUUCGAAGCAACGCGAAGAACCUUACCAGGUCUUGACAUCCUUGGACCUCCCUAGAGAUAGGGCUUUCCCUUCGGGGACCAAGUGAC
rnacentral:rRNA from 1 species